UUUUAGCCGCUCACGCCAACCCAUACCCCACCUUACUGAGUUAGCGGCAUCAAAAUUCAGAUCCCCCUCACAGUUCGGCUUAUCAUGUCUAUGUUUUUUGAAGGCAGAAUUAAAAAGAGCAUGGACCUUAGCCUGAACCAUCAACUUAUUGGUAUACAAGUCUGGAUGAAGUGACUCGUCACCACAGCCACUAUACUCGUCAACUACAUUAAACGCAUUCGGUCGGGGUCGCAACGCUGACACUGUUGUGUCCGUACCAUCAGUAUCUUUAAAGAUUGCACUGCAGAGAGUACCUGAGACAGUCUGGGAAGUACUGAACACUGGCCCAGAAGGAUUUCACACCUGCCCUGCAGGCUUUAGUGUCACAUCAGACUGUGUAUGAACACCCGGCAGAAUUAAAAAGAGCCUGGACCUUAGCCUGAACCAUCAACUUAUUGGUAUACAAGUCUGAAUGAAGUGACUCGUCACCACAGCCACUAUACUCGUCAACUACAUUAAACGCAUUCGGUCGGGGUCGCAACGCUGACACUGUUGUGUCCGUACCAUCAGUAUCUUUAAAGAUUGCACUGCAGAGAGUACCUGAGACAGUCUGGGAAGUACUGAACACUGGCCCAGAAGGAUUUCACACCUGCCCUGCAGGCUUUAGUGUCACAUCAGACUGUGUAUGAACACCCGGUAUUGACACUUUGGGGUCAGAUUUGUGUCUGUAGAUGCCAGAAGUGAAUGUCUGUUAAUGCAUAUGUAAAAAAA